rnacentral:rRNA from 1 species
CUACGAGGUAGAUAGGUCACGGGUGGAAGUGCAGUAAUGUAUGUAGCUGAGUGAUACUAAUAGGUCGAGGGCUUAACCUU